rnacentral:rRNA from 1 species
UUAACUACCCUUGACAUGUCUGGAAUGCCGAAGAGAUUUGGCAGUGCUCGCAAGAGAACCGGAACACAGGUGCUGCAUGGCUGUCGUCAGCUCGUGUCGUGAGAUGUUGGGUUAAGUCCCGCAACGAGCGCAACCCUUGUCAUUAGUUGCUACGAAAGGGCACUCUAAUGAGACUGCCGGUGACAAACCGGAGGAAGGUGGGGAUGACGUCAAGUCCUCAUGGCCCUUAUGGGUAGGGCUUCACACGUCAUACAAUGGUCGGGACAGAGGGCUGCCAACCCGCAAGGGGGAGCCAAUCCCAGAAACCCGAUCGUAGUCCGGAUCGCAGUCUGCAACUCGACUGCGUGAAGUCGGAAUCGCUAGUAAUCGCGGAUCAGCAUGUCGCGGUGAAUACGUUCCCGGGUCUUGUACACACCGCCCGUCACACCAUGGGAGUGGGUUUUACCAGAAGUAGUUAGCCUAACCGCAAGGGGGGCGAUUACCACGGUAGGAUUCAUGACUGGGGUGAAGUCGUAACAAGGUAGGCGUAGAUGA